AUAAUAAAAAAACAUAAUUGUCGUAUAAUAUUGGGGAUAUGGCCCAAAAGUUUCUACCAAGCUGCCGUGAACGGCUUGACUACGAUGUGGAAGGAUUGGCGU
rfam:Bacillus sp. FJAT-22058 super1, whole genome shotgun sequence.